AGUCACUGACAUUAGAUACCCGUGUAGUCCAGGGUGUAAACGCUGCAGACUUGGUGCUGGAGGCCCUUUGGGGGCAUUCAGUGCCGGAGAGAAGUUGUUAAGUCUGCUACUUGGGGAGUACGUCCGCAAGGAUGAAACUUAAAGGAAUUGGCGGGGGAGCACCGCAACGGGAGGAGCGUGCGGUUUAAUUGGAUUCAACACCGUAAACUCACCAGGGAAGACUGUUACAUGAAGGCCGAGAUGAAGACUCUGCUAGAUUUUCAG
rnacentral:rRNA from 1 species